AUUGAACGCUGGCGGCAGGCUUAACACAUGCAAGUCGAGCGGAGAGAGGUAGCUUGCUACCGAUCUUAGCGGCGGACGGGUGAGUAAUGCUUAGGAAUCUGCCUAUUAGUGGGGGACAACAUUUCGAAAGGAAUGCUAAUACCGAAUACGUCCUACGGGAGAAAGCAGGGGAUCUUCGGACCUUGCGCUAAUAGAUGAGCCUAAGUCGGAUUAGCUAGUUGGUGGGGUAAAGGCCUACCAAGGCGACGAUCUGUAGCGGGUCUGAGAGGAUGAUCCGCCACACUGGGACUGAGACACGGCCCAGACUCCUACGGGAGGCAGCAGUGGGGAAUAUUGGACAAUGGGCGCAAGCCUGAUCCAGCCAUGCCGCGUGUGUGAAGAAGGCCUUAUGGUUGUAAAGCACUUUAAGCGAGGAGGAGGCUACUUUAGCUAAUACCUAGAGAUAGUGGACGUUACUCGCAGAAUAAGCACCGGCUAACUCUGUGCCAGCCGCCGCAGUAA
rnacentral:rRNA from 1 species